rnacentral:lncRNA from 1 species
AUGCAGUACAUUGAUGAUUUCAAGUGUGUGACAUACUCAAAAGAUAAACUAAGAGAAAUCCAAGAAGAAUGGUGUCAGUUCAUGCUCGACCUAAAAGUUAUAUGAUAUUUUUAUGAUAAGGUGUGGAGGAAAGUAACGAAAAUUGGAAAUGAAUGAUGAUUUGUCUGCUUGUUUUGUAUAAAAAUGUUGAGAAGAUCAAGAAGAUAGAUGAAGACUGCAUGAUACAAUAGAAGAUUUUGAUCGAAGAUUUUGAUCUUUAUGUUAACUAAUUAGUUGUGUAACUCCUAGAGAUCGAUAUCUAUGUUACCAUAUUAGAGGCCAUACAUUUCUGACUUUUAUGCUAUAUGUACAUACAUUUUUUAU